UACGAAGGGGGCUAGCGUUGCUCGGAAUCACUGGGCGUAAAGCGCACGUAGGCGGAUUGUUAAGUCAGGGGUGAAAUCCUGGAGCUCAACUCCAGAACUGCCUUUGAUACUGGCGAUCUCGAGUCCGGGAGAGGUGAGUGGAACUGCGAGUGUAGAGGUGAAAUUCGUAGAUAUUCGCAAGAACACCAGUGGCGAAGGCGGCUCACUGGCCCGAUACUGACGCUGAUGCACGAAAGCGUGGGGAGCAAACGGG
rnacentral:rRNA from 1 species